UACGUAGGGGGCUAGCGUUGUCCGGAUUUAUUGGGCGUAAAGAGCGUGUAGGCGGCCAAGUAGGUCCGGUGUGAAAACUCGAGGCUUAACCUCGAGAUGUCAUCGGAAACCAUUUGGCUAGAGUCCGGAAGAGGAAAGUGGAAUUCCCAGUGUAGAGGUGAAAUUCGUAGAUAUUGGGAAGAACACCGGUGGCGAAGGCGGCUAUCUGGCCCGUAAUUGACGCUGAGGCGCGAAAGCGUGGGGAGCAAACAGG
rnacentral:rRNA from 1 species